rfam:Armatimonadetes bacterium OLB18 TZ18_ATM00100CONTIG000117, whole genome shotgun sequence.
CGAAAAGCUACUGAGGGUGCGUGGUGAAUGCCUAGGGACAAGUUGCCGAUGAAGGACGCGCAAGCGGCGAAACGCUCCGGGGAGCUGCACGAAAGCUUUGAUCCGGAGAUUUCCGAAUGGGGAAACCCCGUCAGGGUAAUGCCUGGCGACCCACACCUGAACACAUAGGGUGUGAGGAGGGAACCGGGUGAACUGAAACAUCUAAUUAACCCGUGGAAAAGAAAUCGAAGAGAUUCCGUAAGUAGCGGCGAGCGAACGCGGAACAGCCUAAACCAAGGGGUACGCCUCUUGGGGUCGUGGGGCCACCACUAAGCCCCUAAAGCCAUCGUUCUUGCGGAGACGCAGGGCCUAUGGAUUUGGGGGUUUAGAAACGAGUUGGAAUCGAGUUAGGAAAAGAGAGUUGGAAAACUCCGCCAUAGAGGGUGAGAGCCCCGUAUUCAAAAUCUCGAUUCGAAUUCAGGGGGUACCCGAGUAGCGCCGAACACGAGGAAUUCGGCGUGAAUCUGCCCGGACCACCGGGUAAGGCUAAAUACGACUUGUCACCGAUAGUGCAACCAGUACCGUGAGGGAAAGGUGAAAAGCACCCCGGGAGGGGAGUGAAAUAGACCCUGAAACCGCGACACCCAUAAACAGUCAGAGCACUAUGACCGGAGCGAUCCGGCCACGUGUAAUGGCGUACCUUUUGCAGAAUGAGCCUGCGAGUUGUUGGUACCGGCAAGGUUAAGGAUUUCAGAUCCGCAGCCGGAGGGAAACCGAGUCCGAAUAGGGCGUCAAGUCGGUAUCAGCAGACCCGAAACUGCGUGAUCUAGCCAUGGCCAGGCUGAAGUGGUGGUAACACACCAUGGAGGGCCGAACCAAUUAACGUUGAAAAGUUACUGGAUGAGUUGUGGUUAGUCCGGUGAAAUGCCAAUCGAACGCAGAAAUAGCUGGUUCUCCCCGAAAUGCAUUUGGGUGCAGCGUUACGUGAUGUCGUUUGGGGGUAGAGCACUGAAUGGGCUAGGGGGCCUACCAGCUUACCGAACCCAACCAAACUCCGAAUACCAAACGAUUAACGUAGCAGUGAGACUGCGAGGGAUAAGCUUCGUAGUCGAGAGGAUAACAGUCCAGACCCACAGCUAAGGGCCCUAAGCGUGUGCUAAGUGUGAAACGAUGUGAGGUCGCGUAAACAGCCAGGAGGUUGGCUUGGAAGCAGCCACCCUUUAAAAAGUGCGUAACAGCUUACUGGCCGAAUGUGACUUCGCGCGGAAAAUGUAAGGGGGCUUAAGCACACCCCCGAAGCUUGGGGAUUCCGGAGCAAUCCGGGAUCGGUAGGGGAGCGUCGGGCGCGCAGCGAAGCCGUAGCGUAAGCAGCGGUGGAGCGCGUUCGAGUGAGAAUGCAGGCAUGAGUAGCGAUUACAGAGGUGAGAAUCCUCUGCGCCGAAAACCUAAGGUUUCUCCGGCCAUGUUCGUCAGACGGAGGUUAGGCGGCACCUAAGGCGAGGCCAGAAGGCGUAGCCGAUGGAGAUCGGGUUGAUAUUCCCGACCCAGGUAUGUAAGGUUAGGAAGGACGCUUCUCAAGGUUCCAUCCCACACCGUUGGUUGUUGUGGGCUACCAGAAGGCUGGGUCCUGUGUAAGCAGGACGGAAAGGCUGACUGGGGGGAAGGAAACUCUUCGGAGGGACUGAACUGGGACUGAGGGGGGCCGAGAAAAGCUCCUAUCUAUAAAUAUCUGACCGUACUGCAAACCGACACAGGUAGGUGAGUCGAGGAGACUAAGGCGUUCGAGAGAACUCUCGUUAAGGAACUAGGCAAACGAGCCCCGUAAGUUCGCGAUAAGGGGCGCUCCGAAUUUCGGAGCCGCAGCGAAGCAGCCCAGGCGACUGUUUACCAAAAACACAGGUCUCUGCUAAGGUGAAAACCGAAGUAUAGGGGCUGACGCCUGCCCAAUGCCCGUAGGUUAACAGGAGGUGUUAGGGGUAACCCAAAGCACUGAAUCGAAGCCCGGGUGAAUGGCGGCCGUAACUCUAACGGUCCUAAGGUAGCGAAAUUCCUUGUCGGCUAAAUACCGACCCGCAUGAAAGGCGUAACGACUUGGGCACUGUCUCAACGAGAAGCUCGGUGAAAAUGUAGCACCCGUGAAGAUGCGGGUUCCGCGCAGUAGGACGGAAAGACCCCGUGGAGCUUUACUACACCUUAAGAUUGCGAAUUGGGUGUAGAUGUAGAGUGUAGGUGGGAGCUUCGGCGCCAAUGGAACACCACCCUUCUGCAUCUGGUUCGCUAACCUGUACCCUGAUCGGGUAUGGAGACCGUCUUAGGCGGGUAGUUUGACUGGGGCGGUCGCCUCCCAAAUUGUAACGGAGGCGCUCAAAGUUCCCCUCAGGCUGGUUGGAAAUCAGCCGUCGAGCGUAUACGUAUAGAGGGGGAUUGACUGCGAGACCUACAAGUCGAGCAGGGACGAAAGUCGGAGUAAGUGACCCUCUGGUGGUGCGUGGGCACGCCAGGGUUCAUCGGAUAAAAGCUACCCCGGGGAUAACAGGCUGAUCUUGCCCGAGCGCUCAUAGCGACGGCAUGGUUUGGCACCUCGAUGUCGGCUCGUCACAUCCUGGGGCUGUACAAGGUCCCAAGGGUUCCGGAGUUCACGGAUUAAAGUGGCACGCGAGCUGGGUUCAGAACGGCGUAAGCCAGUUCGGUCCCUAUCCACUGUGCGCGUAGGAAAUUUGAGGGGAGUCGCUCUUAGUACGAGAGGACCGGAGCGAACUGACCUCUGGUGUACCUGUUGUGCCGCCAGGCGCAGACGCAGGGUAGCCACGUCGGGAAGUGAUAAGCGCUGAAAGCAUCUAAGCGCCAAGCACACCCCAAGAUUAGAUUUCCCACUUAGGGUAAGGCCCCCGGUAGACCACCGGGUUGAUAGGCCGCAGGUGUAAGCAUGGCGACAUGUUCAGCUAAGCGGUACUAAUUGGCCGAGGGCUUAUCGAA